AACGCACCUUGCGCUCCUUGGUAUUCCGAGGAGCAUGCCUGUUUGAGUGUCAUGAAAUCAUCAACCUUACUGUCUUUGUUGACGGUGUAGGCUUGGACUUGGGGACCUUGCCGGCCUUUCUGAGGUCGGCUUCCCUUGAAUGUAUUAGUCGAGCGCCCUCGCUCCGAGACGUGUGAUAAGAUGUUUCCAUGUCUUGGUUUCUGGCUCUGUCGCCUUUGGGACCCGCUUCUAACCGUCUCAAGUCGAGACAACGUUUGAGCGUGUCUCCCUUCUCGGGAAACACCCUCGAGCCCACGAACCCUUGACCUCAAAUCGGGUGAGACUACCCGCUGAACUUAA
rnacentral:rRNA from 1 species